UACGUAGGUGGCAAGCGUUGUCCGGAUUUACUGGGCGUAAAGAGCGCGCAGGCGGUCGUCCAAGUCGCGUGUGAAAGCCCCCGGCUCAACUGGGGAGGGUCACGCGAUACUGGUCGACUCGAAGGCAGGAGAGGGUAGUGGAAAUUCCCGGUGUAGUGGUGAAAUGCGUAGAUAUCGGGAGGAACACCAGUGGCGAAGGCGACUACCUGGCCUGUUCUUGACGCUGAGGCGCGAAAGCUAGGGGAGCAAACGGG
rnacentral:rRNA from 1 species